UGGGCCCCUCAGGUGGCGCGGUGGCGCAGCCGCGCGGCCGUGCCGUGUGUGGACUGGAGUCGAGUCGAGUGGAGUGAGUGGACUGGUCUUCAGUUCCCUCCCCGGCGCGUUCCCUCCCGGACCGCAUUCACCGGCGUGCAAGUCGAGCCUCCACCGGCAUGCCGACCUUGAUCGCGAGGGCGGCGAUGGCGCUGCUGGCCGUCGUCGCGUGUCUAGCGCUGUUCGCCACCGGCAGCCCCGCGGCGCAGCGCAGCCGCGGUUCUGGCGGCCCUAGAGGAGCCCCCCGGAGGCAGGACGGCCACGGCCUCGACGGCAACGUCCACAACCGCUUUGCCACGUACUGGGGCGCGUCCGAGUGGCAGGACGACGAUAGCGCUCUCGGAGGAAGUAACGGACUGCAGCAGCAGGGUGGUGGCUCGGACAUCAACUUCGGCCAGAACCCGUGGCUGAACGGCGUAGGCGGCGGCAACAACUGGGGUGGAAACAACAACAACCCCGGAAAUAACAAUUGGGGUGGAAACAACAACAAUCCUGGAAACAACAACUGGGGUGGAACCAACAACAACGGCCCCGGAAACAAUUGGGGUGGAAACAACAACAACAAUGGCCCCGGAAACAACUGGGGCGGAAACAACAAUAACAAUGGCCCCGGGAACAACUGGGGCGGAAACAACAACAACGGCCCCGGAAACAACAACAAUCCUGGAAACAACAACAACCGCCCUGGAAACAACAACAACCGGCCGGGCAACAACAACAACAGGCCAGGCUCCCGGCCUGCCUCCACCACGACGCCCAGGCCCAACCCCAUCGCCAUCGGCGGGGUGCGGCCGCCGUCCACGCCGCGGCCGGACUGCGGCUGCACCUCGACGCAGGAGUACAACCCCGUGUGCGGCACGGACGGCGCCACCUACGGCAACCCCACCCUGCUGCGCUGCGCCAAGAUCUGCGGCAACAAUACGCUCCGGCAGAAGCACCGUGGCGCCUGCACCGUCACCGUACCCCCGCCCACCUAGAGGGGCUGGAUGGAUCGCCGAGGACGCCAAGAAGAGGAGGCCUGCACCUCCACCUGCGCGGACGUCGCGAACCCCUGCCUUCCAGAAUCAGUGUGCAGGGGCGGCAGUCGGUUGGGUUGCCUACCGGGUGGGCGCAUCGGCUGCAGACUGCGCCUCGCCGGUAGGCAACCCAACGCACUUCCGACCCCGUCCCGGGGCGCGAGAGGCGCAUGUGUGUUUGUGUGUGUUUUGUUUGUGAAGGGGCGUACUUGUCCUCGCCCGUUUGCAACUCUCAUCGUAGGUUAGGACUUAAAUGUUCGGAAUUCAUUAAAAAUGGAAAAGAGUCAA